GUGUGUUUCCUGUUGUCCGUGAAGAUUUAAUAGCCCGUCAACAAACAGCACAAAAUCAUACUGGAACAUCGUUUCGUCACGGGUUUAAUUUUGUGUAAAGCUUCCAUACAAACGUCUGUCCUCAGGUUGGCAGGGACAAAGUAGUUAAGUUACACGGCUGUGGCUGGCAUGUGUGGGCAUUCUAGCGUGUAAAGUUACCGAGGAUGUGGAGGACAGGUACUGGUCCGAGUCUGGGGAGGGCAGCCAGACUCUGUUCCAGCACCCCACCAAAAGCUUCUCACACAAACUUCACUGCACGGCCCCACGCCGAGAAGCAGAGGCGCAGACGAGUGCGGGAGGAGGGCAUCCUAUCGAGUCAGCAUGGUAGUGCUGAAGGUAAAGCAGUAAAGUGGAGUGAGAAGCAGAAGAUUGCUUAUACCGGUCCUACACCUCCUGGGGCAAAGAAAGACACUAGCUUACCGUUCCCGUCUUGUUACAGUCCAGAGUAUGUGGAGUCCAGCUGGUAUCAGUGGUGGGAGAAAGAGGGAUUCUUCAGUCCUGAGCAACACGAACGGCUGCCCCACGCUGUGGAUCAGACCUUCUCUCUGUGUAUUCCUCCACCAAACGUGACUGGGACUCUGCACCUGGGCCACGCUCUGACAGUAGCUGUAGAGGAUGCACUGGUUCGAUGGAGAAGGAUGCAGGGCUGCAGAGUGCUGUGGGUGCCUGGAUGUGACCAUGCAGGUAUCGCAACGCAGACGGUGGUGGAGAGGAGACUGCUGAGGCAAACAGGGAGGCACAGACGAGACUUUAAGAGGGACGAGUUUCUGGAGGAGGUGUGGAAGUGGAAGAAUGAGAAAGGAGACGAGAUCUACCACCAGCUGAGGAAGCUUGGAGCUUCUCUGGACUGGAGCAGAGCCUGUUUCACUAUGGACCCAGGUUUUAGCAGAGCUGUAACAGCAGCGUUUGUUCGUCUGUGUGACUCUGGUCUAAUUUAUCGCUCAGAGGGUUUGGUCAGCUGGAGCUGUGCCCUGGAAUCUGCCAUCUCUGACAUAGAGGUAGACUCGAAGGAGCUCUCUGGCCGGACCAUGUUGUCUGUUCCUGGCUAUGAAAACAAGAUUGAGUUUGGAACGAUGCUGAGCUUUGCGUAUCCCGUAGAAGGCCACGACACCGAGGUGGUGGUCUCCACCACCCGUCCAGAGACUAUGCUGGGAGACGUGGCCAUAGCUGUUCACCCUGAUGAUCCUCGAUACCAGACUGUUCACGGGAAGCACUGCAGACAUCCUUUCACUGACAGACUGUUACCCAUCAUCACUGAUUCAAUGGUGGACGUGGAGCUUGGAACCGGUGCAGUGAAGGUGACUCCUGCUCAUGACCACACAGACUUCGUCCUCUCACAGAGACACUCCCUUCCACGCCUGACUGUGAUUGCUGGCGAUGGGACGAUGACAGGGUCCUGUGGACAGUGGCUGGAGGGAGUGAAGCGUUUUGAUGCCAGACAGCUCGUUGUGGAAGCUCUGGCUGAGAAAAGACUGUUCAGAGGAAGAAAAGAUCAUGCCAUGAGUUUACCCAUCUGCAGCCGCUCAGGAGACAUCAUUGAACCCCUUCUAAAAAACCAGUGGUUUGUCCGGUGUGAUGAAAUGGCAAAAAAAGCUGUGCAGGCUGUCGAGGAAAGACGGCUGGAAAUCAUUCCUGAGUACUACACCAAGACGUGGAAGAACUGGCUGUCCAACAUCAGUGACUGGUGCAUAUCCAGGCAGCUCUGGUGGGGUCAUCAGAUCCCUGCCUACAAAGUGAUGCUUCCUAAUUAUGAGGGCCAACAAGAGGAGCAGUGGGUUUGGGGACACAGCGAGGACGAGGCCCGUCAGAAAGCUGCUGUCAAAUAUGGAUUGAAGCCAGAUGCCGUCACAUUGACUCGGGACCCAGAUGUCUUGGAUACAUGGUUUUCCUCUGCGCUCUUUCCCUUUGCCAUGCUUGGCUGGCCAGAUCAGACCGCUGACCUGCAGCAGUUUUACCCUAACUCUGUUCUGGAGACGGGCAGUGACCUCAUCUUUUUCUGGGUGGCCAGGAUGGUGAUGCUUGGAACAGAGCUGACCGGGCAGCUACCCUUUAAACAGGUCCUGUUUCAUUCACUAGUGAGAGAUAAAUAUGGCAGAAAAAUGAGUAAAUCUCUGGGAAAUGUCAUCGACCCCUUAGACGUUAUACACGGAGUCACUUUGGAGACACUUCAAGGAAAAGUGAAGGAGGGGAACCUUGAUCCGAGGGAGCAGCUGGUUGCCAUGGAAGCACAGAGGAAGGACUUCCCCGUGGGGAUCCCAGAGUGUGGGACCGAUGCUCUGCGCUUUGCCCUUUGCUCUCACAAAAUGCAGGGAGAAGACAUCAGUCUGUCCGUCUCUCAGGUUCUGAGCUGCAGACACUUCUGUAAUAAGAUGUGGCAGACCUUAAGGUUCACAUUGGGAGUGCUGAGUGAGAACAGAGCAACAGUGGAAACCAUAGCAAAGACAGCUCCUCUGAGCAGCAUGGACCGCUGGAUCUGCUCCAGACUCCACAGCACGGUUGGACAGUGUGAGCAGGCCUUUGACGCUUAUGAGCUCCACACAGUCACGUCUGCCCUGUAUUCCUUCUGGGUCCACAGCCUGUGUGAUAUUUACAUGGAGUAUAUAAAGCCUCUGCUGACCCAGCAGGACCAGGAAGCCGUCCUCACCACCGACGCAGAGCACAGUGGUGACGUGAGGCAGGCGGCCAUCGCUGUUCUCUAUCACUGUGUGUCUGUGUCCUUGGCCCUGCUCUCCCCCUUCAUGCCGUUCAUCACUGAGGAGCUGUGGCAGAGACUUCAGCCAUUUGCACCCGAAGCUGCUGCACAAACCAGCCUGUGUUUACAGCCGUACCCCCACUCUGCUCAGUUGGCACACUGGCAUUUUGCCGAAGAGGAAAGAGGUUUCCUGCUGGUACAGGAAGUGAUCCGAGUGGCCCGUUCUUUACGAGCACAGUGUGGCAUAACCAAAGCAAAACCUGACAUGUGGGCAGUGUGUUCGCCCAGCCAGGCCGAGGUCCUCCUUCGCUUCGGGUCAGCGAUUAGGACUUUAAGCCGAAUCUCCGACCUUCACAUCUGCUGUUCUGACACAGACGGUAUCCCCCUGUCUGUUCACUCCACUUCUCCGCCCAAAACAAGCCUCGUUGGUGUGGUGGACCACACAUGUCAGCUACAUCUUCACUUUCAACUUUUUAGAUCAUCAGGAGAGCUUUCAGAUGAAACCACUGAAGACCAUGAGCUCCUCUGUACACAGACGAGUCAGAGGUGAGGGCAUCUGUCCCACAGCCAAGCCUGGAGUCAUGCAUCGGGACAAUGUACCCAAACACAGUCAAGGUGCUGCAAUAUCCCAGUCACGGUGUGGACCUGAACUCCAUUGAAAUGCUGUGGCAGGACCUUAUGAGAGCUGUGUUUAAAUACAUGCACGCACGUAAUCUAUGAGUAUUAAAUGUCAUGUGACCUUUGCUUAAGCAAAUCUAAUAACUCUUCAGAGAAGCACACAUUGUUAAAGUCAUGUUUGCAUUGUGAUGAGAAUCCCAUCCUGUUCCUGUUGAAUGUUUUUGCAGUGGUGGUGAGGAUGUUGGUCAUGUCUAACGUACUGUGUUGUGUCUCUCAGAGUGGAAUGAACAUUGAGAAACAGAUUGUGCAGCUCUCUCAGCGCAGAGACAGGCUCGGCCCAAAGCUGGAUGAAAUCCUUGCCAGAGUCCAGUCUCCAAGCUACCUCACCAAGGUUCCUUCUCAUAUCAGAGAGCAGAUGGACAGUAAGGUGUCUGCUUUGGAGCAGGAACUGAAAACUGUUGAGGAUCAACUGAAAUUGCUGCAAGAGAUGCAAACAGCAGAAUAACUGAAGCCUUUACAGUAGCUGUGUGGACUGCUCGAGGAAAAAAACUGCUGUUUCAUUAUUUAUAAUAUUAUCUGAGUCAAAAA